rnacentral:rRNA from 1 species
UACGUAGGGUGCGAGCGUUAAUCGGAAUUACUGGGCGUAAAGCGUGCGCAGGCGGCGCGUUAAGACAGGUGUGAAAGCCCCGAGCUUAACUUGGGAAUUGCGCUUGUGACUGGCGUGCUGGAGUGUGGCAGAGGGAGGUGGAAUUCCACGUGUAGCAGUGAAAUGCGUAGAGAUGUGGAGGAACACCAGUGGCGAAGGCGACUCUCUGGUCUGUAACUGACGCUGAGGCGCGAAAGCGUGGGGAGCAAACAGG